rnacentral:rRNA from 1 species
CCUCAAGAUGAGAUUUCCCAUGAUUUUAUAUCAGUAAGAGCCCUGAGAGAUGAUCAGGUAGAUAGGUUAGAAGUGGAAGUGUGGCGACACAUGUAGCGGACUAAUACUAAUAGCUCGAGGACUUAUCCAAA